UAGAGUACCUCUUUCAGAAUUUUUCUAAGAGGAUUUUUGACCUUGGUCAGAAAUCCCAA
ensembl:snRNA U7 U7 small nuclear RNA